GACGAACGCUGGCGGCGUGCUUAACACAUGCAAGUCGAACGGAAAGGCCCUGCUUUUGUGGGGUGCUCGAGUGGCGAACGGGUGAGUAACACGUGAGUAACCUGCCCUUGACUUUGGGAUAACUUCAGGAAACUGGGGCUAAUACCGGAUAGGAGCUCCUGCUGCAUGGUGGGGGUUGGAAAGUUUCGGCGGUAGGGGAUGGACUCGCGGCUUAUCAGAUUGUUGGUGGGGUAGUGGCUUACCAAGGCUUUGACGGGUAGCCGGCCUGAGAGGGUGACCGGGCACAAGGGGACUGCGAGACGCAGCAGAGUGCAACGGGAGGCAGCAGUGGGGAAUAUUGCACAAUGGGCGGGAGCCGGAGGAAGAAGCGUUGCGGGCGGGAAGACGGCUUUCGGGUUGUAAACCGCUGUCGGCUGAGACGAAGCGGGAGUGACGGUAAUGGGUAAAGAAGCACCGGCUAACUACGUG
rnacentral:rRNA from 1 species